AAACUUUCAACAACGGAUCUCUUGGUUCUGGCAUCGAUGAAGAACGCAGCGAAAUGCGAUAAGUAGUGUGAAUUGCAGAAUUCAGUGAAUCAUCGAAUCUUUGAACGCACAUUGCGCCCCUCGGUAUCCCGGGGGGCAUGCCUGUUCGAGCGUCAUU
rnacentral:rRNA from 1 species